AUGAACGCUAGCGACAGGCCUAACACAUGCAAGUCAGGGGCAGCACAAGGAGCAAUCUGAGGUGGCGACCGGCGCACGGGUGAGUAACACGUAUGCAACCUGCCUGUAAGCGGGGAAUAACCCGUUGAAAGACGGACUAAUACCGCAUAAUACUAAAUUACUGCAUGGUAAUUUAUUUAAACAUUUAUGGCUUACAGAUGGGCAUGCGCAUGAUUAGCUAGUUGGAGAGGUAACGGCUCCCCAAGGCAACGAUCAUUAGGGGUUCUGAGAGGAAGGUCCCCCACACUGGUACUGAGACACGGACCAGACUCCUACGGGAGGCAGCAGUGAGGAAUAGUGGUCAAUGGACGAGAGUCUGAACCAGCCAAGUCGCGUGCAGGAAGAAUGUCCUUAAUGGAUUGUAAACUGCUUUUGCAGGGGAAUAAAGUGCAUCACGUGUGAUGUUUUGUAUGUACUCUGCGAAUAAGGAUCGGCUAACUCCGUGCCAGCCGCAGC
rnacentral:rRNA from 1 species